GAUGAACGCUGGCGGCGUGCCUAAUACAUGCAAGUCGAGCGAACGGACGAGAAGCUUGCUUUUCUGAUGUUAGCGGCGGACGGGUGAGUAACACGUGGAUAACCUACCUAUAAGACUGGGAUAACUUCGGGAAACCGGAGCUAAUACCGGAUAAUAUUUUGAACCGCAUGGUUCAAAAGUGAAAGCCGGUCUUGCUGUCACUUAUAGAUGGAUCCGCGCUGCAUUAGCUAGUUGGUAAGGUAACGGCUUACCAAGGCAACGAUGCAUAGCCGACCUGAGAGGGUGAUCGGCCACACUGGAACUGAGACACGGUCCAGACUCCUACGGGAGGCAGCAGUAGGGAAUCUUCCGCAAUGGGCGAAAGCCUGACGGAGCAACGCCGCGUGAGUGAUGAAGGUCUUCGGAUCGUAAAACUCUGUUAUUAGGGAAGAACAUAUGUGUAAGUAACUGUGCACAUCUUGACGGUACCUAAUCAGAAAGCCACGGCUAACUACGUG
rnacentral:rRNA from 1 species